GACGAACGCUGGCGGCGUGCUUAACACAUGCAAGUCGAACGGAAAGGCCCUGCUUUUGUGGGGUGCUCGAGUGGCGAAAGGGUGAGUAACACGUGAGUAACCUGCCCUUGACUUUGGGAUAACUUCAGGAAACUGGGGCUAAUACCGGAUAGGAGCUCAUGCUGCAUGGUGGGGGUGGGAAAGUUUCGGCGGUUGGGGAUGGACUCGCGGCUUAUCAGCUUGUUGGUGGGGUAGUGGCUUACCAAGGCUUUGACGGGUCGCCGGCCUGAGAGGGUGACCGGACACAUUGGGACUGAGAUACGGCCCAGACUCCUACGGGAGGCAGCAGUGGGGAAUAUUGCACUGUGGGCGGAAGCCUGAUGCAGCAACGCCGCGUUCGGGAUGACGGCCUUCGGGUUGUAGACCGCUUUCGCCUGUGACGAAGCGUGAGGGACGGUAAUGGGUAAAGAAGCACCGGCUAACUACGUG
rnacentral:rRNA from 1 species